AGAGUUUGAUCCUGGCUCAGAAUGAACGCUGGCGGCGUGCUUAACACAUGCAAGUCGUACGAGAACUCCAUAGCUUGCUAUGGAUAGUAAAGUGGCGUACGGGUGAGUAACGCGUAGGUAAUCUACCUCUGAAUUGGGGAUAACAUUGCGAAAGCGAUGCUAAUACCGGAUAAUAUCGAUUGAUUUGCGGAUUAAUUGAUCAAAGGUGGCCACUAUAAAAAAGCUACUGUUUGGAGAUGAGCCUGCGUACCAUUAGCUAGUUGGUAGGGUAAAGGCCUACCAAGGCUACGAUGGUUAGUCGGUCUGAGAGGAUGAUCAGCCACACUGGAACUGACACACGGUCCAGACUCCUACGGGAGGCAGCAGUGAGGAAUUUUGCGCAAUGGGGGGAACCCUGACGCAGCAACGCCGCGUGAGUGAUGAAGGAUUUCGGUUCGUAAAGCUCUGUCAAGUGGGAAGAAGUUAUUGUAUAUUAACAGUAUAUAGUAUUGACGGUACCAUUAGAGGAAGCACCGGCUAACUCCGUGCCAGCAGCCGCGGUAAUACGGAGGGUGUAAGCGUUAUUCGGAAUUAUUGGGCGUAAAGGGCGUGUAGGCGGUUUAGCAAGUCAGAUGUGAAAUCCCGGGGCUUAACCCUGGAAGUGCAUUUGAAACUGUUGGACUUGAGUAUGGUAGAGGGAAGUGGAAUUCCUGGUGUAGAGGUGAAAUUCGUAGAUAUCAGGAGGAACACCGGUGGCGAAGGCGACUUCCUGGACCAAUACUGACGCUGAGGCGCGAAGGCGUGGGUAGCAAACAGGAUUAGAUACCCUGGUAGUCCACGCAGUAAACGUUGAUCACUAGGUGUGGCGGGUAUUGACCCCUGCUGUGCCGGAGCUAACGCAUUAAGUGAUCCGCCUGGGGAGUACGGCCGCAAGGUUAAAACUCAAAGGAAUUGACGGGGGCCCGCACAAGCGGUGGAGCAUGUGGUUUAAUUCGACGCAACGCGAAGAACCUUACCUGGAUUUGACCUCCUGGGAAUAUUUAUGAAAGUAGAUAGUGCCUCGUAAGAGGAGCCUGGAGACAGGUGCUGCAUGGCUGUCGUCAGCUCGUGUCGUGAGAUGUUGGGUUAAGUCCCGCAACGAGCGCAACCCUUGUCUUUAGUUGCCAUCAUUUAGUUGGGAACUCUAGAGAUACUGCCCCGGUUAACGGGGAGGAAAGUGGGGAUGA
rnacentral:rRNA from 1 species